rnacentral:rRNA from 1 species
AAUGAACGCUAGCGACAUGCCUAACACAUGCAAGUCGAACGAAAAAUCAAUUUAUUGGUUUUUAGUGGCAAACGGGUGAGUAACGCGUAGGAAUUUGCCCUUUAGUGGGGAAUAACUAUAGGAAACUGUAGCUAAUACCGCAUGACCUUUGUAGUUAAUACAAAAGAAAGAUUUAUCGCUAAAGGAGAAGCCUGCGUCAGAUUAGGUUGUUGGUGAGGUAAUAGCUCACCAAGCCAAUGAUCUGUAGCUGGUCUGAGAGGAUGAUCAGCCACAUUGGGACUGAGAUACGGCCCAGACUCCUACGGGAGGCAGCAGCUAAGAAUAUUCCGCAAUGGGGGAAACCCUGACGGAGCAAUCUCUCAUGGAUGAUGAAUGUCUUCGGAUUGUAAAAUCCUUUCGGCAAGGAAGAAUGUGUAGAGUAGGAAAUGGCUUUGCAUUGACGGUACUUGCAGAAGAAGUCCCGGCUAACUACGUGCCAGCCGCCGCCGUAACAC